GUCUCUCCACCCCCUGCUGCUGCUGGGCUUGCGAUUGCCGCUCGCUCCAGCUGAGCUAAGAGUAGCAGCAGCACCAGGGCAGGGACUGACUCCAGCCCUUGGACUCAGGACAUCGCAGACCUUCCCUUGCGUGCGUGACUCAUUCGCACAUCAUUUCUGUUUAUGCCUGGGGUGGGGAGAAAAAUCCCAAACCAGAGAAGUCCAUAGUGAUAUGGGUGCGCGUUAGGCCUGUGAUGGUCUGCAUUGCAUUUGGCAGCAGAAUGGAAGAAGGACAGCCUCCAAGUGGGGAGGCAGGAGGAAGGCAGGGAAAACAAGCAGAACACAGCAGCUGCUGCCCAGCUACCAGAGUCUGGCCUUGGUGAAGGGAAGGGCAGAAGGCCAGGAGAGUAAAGGUAUGAGAAAUGUAAAGGAAGUUAAAUAUUCUGGACCUAAUGACCAAUUGAAUUGGUUUCCUUCAGCUUUCUUCUGAUCUGAAAACUUAGUACCUCAUUGUAUCUUUUUGUUUUCAGUCUGUUAAAUGCCUUUCUAAUUCCAACUAUGUUAUGCACUCUCCAUCUUUAAUACACAGUACUCGCCAUGCUCUUGGCUUAUGGCUACUGAAAUAGGCCUAAAAGUCAUCUACAGGUGUUAGGAACCUUGAUUGGUC
rnacentral:lncRNA from 1 species